rnacentral:rRNA from 1 species
UACGGAGGUUGCAAGCGGUGUUCGGAUUUACUGGGCGUAAAGGGAGCGCAGGCGGUUAGGUCAGUCUGAAGUGGAAGCCCGGGGCUCAACCCUGGAAGGCCUUUGGAUACUGCCUAACUUGAGUUCGUGAGAGGAAAGCGGAAUUCCAGGUGUAGCGGUGAAAUGCGUAGAUAUCUGGAGGAACAUCGAUGGCGAAAGCAGCUUUCUGGCACGAUACUGACGCUGAGGCUCGAAAGCGUGGGGAGCGAACAGG